CAGCAGCCGCGGGAAUACAGAGGGUGCAAGCGUUAAUCGGAUCUACUGGGCGUAAAGGGCGCGUAGGUGGUUAUGUAAGUGAGAUGUGAAAUCCCCGGGCUCAACCUGGGAACUGCAUCUUAUACUGCGUAGCUGGAGUGCAGUAGAGGGUAGUGGAAUUUCCGGUGUAGCGGUGAAAUGCGUAGAUAUCGGAAGGAACACCAGUGGCGAAGGCGGCUACCUGGACUGACACUGACACUGAGGCGCGAAAGCGUGGGGAGCAAACAGGAUUAGAUACCCGCGUAGUCCCUGUCUCUUAUAC
rnacentral:rRNA from 1 species